GCCAGACACGGUGGUGCAUUCCUGUAGUCCUAGCUACUUGGGAGGCUGAGACAGGAUUGCCUGAGUCCAGGAGUUCUGGGUUGUAGUGCACUAAUCUGAUCAGGUGUCCACAUUAAGUUUGGCAUAAAUAUGGUGACCUCCCAGGAAUGGGGGGCCACCAGGUUGCCCAAGGAGGGGUGAACUGGCCCAGGUGGGAAAACGCAGCAAGUCAAAAUUCCCAUGCUGAUCAGUAGUGGGAUUGCACCUCUAAAUAGCCACUGCACUCCAGCCUGGGCAACAUAGUGAGACCCCUUCUCUA
rfam:Otolemur garnettii contig133714, whole genome shotgun sequence.